rnacentral:lncRNA from 1 species
GAGCUCAUUUUCAAAUUUUGUUAAAACCCUACAUGCGUAUAUGUUUUGAGGAAAGGAGAUGAUUCGCAUGGAUGGAAAUGACCGAAACACAUUGAUGAACAUGUGGUUCAGCAUAUCUCAACGAGUCUGUUGUCCUUGGAAGUCAAGAGAUGCAUGCUGACAAUAGUACACACAUUUCUGUGGAGCCAAGAUCAUGGAUCCCUCUCACCUCUGCUGUAAUUGGCCUACUGGUGGUUCAGGAUAUUUUAACAAGUCAAUGUCCUUGAAGUCACAUGAUGGGAGCCAUUGAGACCAGAUGCAUGAUGACAAUGAAGCGGUAAAGCAUAGAAAUAGGAUGACAGAUUCUAUUUCUGUGGCUCCAAGAUCCAUGGAUCCCUCUCACCUCUGCUGUAAUUGGCCUACCUGGUAAGUAGGCUACAUGGCUUGGCCUAUCUGUCCCAAAUGACUCCCUAUUUAAUGCAGUACUUUUGACCUGGGCCCAUAUGGCUCUGGUCAGAAGUUAGUGAACUAUAUAGGGAAUGGUGUGUCAUUCUGGACGUGCAUGCUUUUGAUAAUCUGGUCUUGGGCAGGUGCUGCAGUGUAGCCAUCGUGGCUGUAUGCUGCAGCGUGUCUUGUAGGACCUAGACUAUAACAGGGGGUUCUGUGAAGCUGCCCUGGCAGUUGCAGGUGUGAGCAUGUAUACAGCAGUUUGAUGCUCAUGUAUGAUACUGCAGACAAACUGUCUUUAGAUAACAGAAGUGUCCCUUCUAUAUUUUUGUGUUGAAAUAAUGCUGUAGACGUAUUUACAAUUAAAUUAAACAAGAUUGGCUUUCGCCAACUAACUUGGUGGGAAAGGGGUACUGUAGAAGAUUAUACAGGUUUAGUAGUCUAGUGCAGGGGUGUCAAACUCAUUCCAUGGAGGGCUGAGUGUAUGCUGCCUUUUAAUUUCCUUUCAAUUUGUGUGUAAUAGACUUAAACAACCAGGUGACUGGAGUUUAAAACUAAUCAAUGAGCUCAAUUGAUCACGCAAGUACGAGGGAGAAGCGAAAACACGCAGACAGUCGUCCCUUCACUGAAUGAGUUUGACCACAUGGUCUAGUGACUAAGAUUUCCCUGUUGGUGGUAACGAUAACUUUGUCCAGUAGAGGGCAUACUUUGGAUAAUAUCAAUAAACUCAUGAGGAGCCGAUCAAAUUCU